rnacentral:tRNA from 1 species
CCUCUGGUAGCUCAGUUGGUAGAGCGGUGGACUGUGUUGGUUUCGUCUACGUGGUAAUCCAUUGGUCGCUGGUUCAAAUCCGGCCAAGAGGA